AUUGAACGCUGGCGGCAGGCCUAACACAUGCAAGUCGAGCGGAUGAAGGGAGCUUGCUCCUGGAUUCAGCGGCGGACGGGUGAGUAAUGCCUAGGAAUCUGCCUGGUAGUGGGGGAUAACGUCCGGAAACGGGCGCUAAUACCGCAUACGUCCUGAGGUAGAAAGUGGGGGAUCUUCGGACCUCACGCUAUCAGAUGAGCCUAGGUCGGAUUAGCUAGUUGGUGGGGUAAAGGCCUACCAAGGCGACGAUCCGUAACUGGUCUGAGAGGAUGAUCAGUCACACUGGAACUGAGACACGGUCCAGACUCCUACGGGAGGCAGCAGUGGGGAAUAUUGGACAAUGGGCGAAAGCCUGAUCCAGCCAUGCCGCGUGUGUGAAGAAGGUCUUCGGAUUGUAAAGCACUUUAAGUUGGGAGGAAGGGAAGUAAGUUAAUACCUUGCUGUUUUGACGUUACCAACAGAAUAAGCACCGGCUAACUUCGUG
rnacentral:rRNA from 1 species